AACGAACGCUGGCGGCAUGCCUAACACAUGCAAGUCGAACGAGACCUUCGGGUCUAGUGGCGCACGGGUGCGUAACGCGUGGGAACCUGCCCUUAGGUUCGGAAUAACUCCCCGAAAGGGGUGCUAAUACCGGAUAAUGUCUUCGGACCAAAGAUUUAUCGCCUUUGGAUGGGCCCGCGUUGGAUUAGCUAGUUGGUAGGGUAGAAGCCUACCAAGGCGACGAUCCAUAGCUGGUCUGAGAGGAUGAUCAGCCACACUGGGACUGAGACACGGCCCAGACUCCUACGGGAGGCAGCAGUGGGGAAUAUUGGACAAUGGGCGAAAGCCUGAUCCAGCAAUGCCGCGUGAGUGAUGAAGGCCUUAGGGUUGUAAAGCUCUUUUACCCGGGAUGAUAAUGACAGUACCGGGAGAAUAAGCUCCGGCUAACUCCGUG
rnacentral:rRNA from 1 species